rnacentral:misc_RNA from 1 species
GAUGAAGAACGUAGCGAAAUGCGAUAAGUAAUGUGAAUUGCAGAAUUCAGUGAAUCAUCGAAUCUUUGAACGCACAUUGCGCCCGUCAGUAUUCUGGCGGGCAUGCCUGUUCGAGCGUCAUUACGCCCCUCAAGUCCCCUGUGGACUUGGUGUUGGGGAUCGGCGAGGCUGGUUUUCCAGCACAGCCGUCCCUUAAAUUAAUUGGCGGUCUCGCCGUGGCCCUCCUCUGCGCAGUAGUAAAACACUCGCAACAGGAGCCCGGCGCGGUCCACUGCUGUAAAACCCCCCAACUUUUUAUAGUUGACCUCGAAUCAGGUAGGACUACCCGCUGAACUUAAGCAUAUCAAUAAGCGGAGGA